GUGCCCAGGCGCGAAAACUCUACAAUGCAGGCAACUGCGAUAGGGGAACAUCGAGUGAUACUCAUCUUGGGUGUCUGUCCUCCCGUCUAAAAAAACGGGAGUUAGCAAGGGCCGGGCAAGACCGGUGCCAGCCGCCGCGGUAAUACCGGCGGCUCGAGUGGUGGCCGAUAUUAUUGAGUCUAAAGGGUCCGUAGCCGGCUUUGCAAGUCUUUUGGGAAAUCCAGCGGCUUAACCGUUGGUCGUCCGGGAGAUACUACAUUGCUUGGGACUGGGAGAGGUAGGAGGUACUCAGGGGGUAGGAGUGAAAUCCUGUAAUCCUUUGGGGACCACCGGUGGCGAAGGCGUCCUACCAGAACAGGUCCGACGGUGAGGGACGAAAGCUAGGGGCACGAACCGGAUUAGAUACCCGGGUAGUCCUAGCCGUAAACGAUGCUCGCUAGGUGUCACAACAAUCGUGAAUUGUUGUGGUGCCGUAGGGAAGCCGUGAAGCGAGCCACUUGGGAAGUACGACCGCAAGGUUGAAACUUAAAGGAAUUGGCGGGGGAGCAC
rnacentral:rRNA from 1 species